AUGACGCUGAAGGCUAAUGCCAGAGUCAUGAUGGCCCUUCAGGAUGCUUGUGGGAUUCCUAAGCUCAACAAGAAAAAUUACAGCGACUGGGUUCAGUAUGCAGAGGCAAUUCUGCGGAAAGAGGGUUUGUUUGAGGUGAUUACAGAAACCCCCAGUUCCAGUUACAGAUGCAUGGGAAGCUAAGGAUUCCAAAGCAAGGGAACUCUUACAUUGAUAGUAUCCCCAGAAGAGCUCUGUCUAUUGCGUGAUAAGACCUCAGCCAGAGAAAUUUGGGACGCUUUGAGAGAGGCUCACUUAAGGACAGAAGCUGGAUCCACUAUGUUUUACUUUAACAAGCUGCACAAUAUGGCUCUUGCUGAAGGUGGAGAUGUGCGUUUACAUCUGAUGGAGAUGCAAAAUCUGAGACAUGAGCUGCAACAGAGAGGACUCAACUUUCCAGAGGCUGUGUAUUCUUUCAUGAUACUACAAUCUUUGGGUUCAGGUUGGGAGUCUGUUGCAACCCAGAUUGCUGUGCAACCAACUGCUCAGCUGACAGUGGACUUUGUUACUGCCGUGAUUUUAAAUGAAGCAGAUCGCCGGGGUGCUAGCUGCAUGGGCAAGGGAGUCUUCACAGACGUCAUCCCAUAGUGCAGUGGAACCACCAGAUGGCGCCAAAGCUUUGAAGGCAGUGAAAUGCUACUCGUGUGGACGUCUAGGCCAUAUGAAGAGGGAAUGCAGACAUCCCAGGGCCAAGACAGAGCAGCGCAGCGAAGCUCAUCGUGCGGAAAAGGCCGAGGCAAGGCAAAGGUCCGGUGUCUAGGACAACGCAGCACAAGGCUAUGGUUUCACGCUUCACUCCAAAGGUUGCAGAGGUCCAGAAGACGUCUAGAUCUUUCUUCGUUGUUGAUUCAGCGGCCACCCACCACAUGUGCAACGAUAAGAGACUGUUUGUGUCUUUUACACCACAGGAAGGUGCGAUUCACCAGGCGGAUGACCACACUAUUCCCAGUAAAGGCUACGGAACUGUUGUUCUUCACAGUCUGGACUUAUCGAUACAGAAUGUGCUUUACGUGCCAGACGCCAAACAUAAUCUGCUCAGCGUUGGACAGCUGAAUGAGCGGAACAUUGACGUUUCCUUCAAGAACAAGAAGUGCAUCAUCACAAAGAAAAAUGAUUAUGUAUUGCAUGCAGAAUAUGUUGAUCAUUUGUUUGUUUUGUAUUAUGAUGAUGUGGUGCAGGAUGACACUUGUUGCAUUGCAGGUUCUAACAAAAGUUUGCAUGCAGAAUGUAUUCACGAUUUUCAUCGAAAAUUUGGUCAUUUGCAUUUUGAGGCAGUAUCUAAAAUGCCUGCCUUGGUUGAAGGUAUGACUAUUAAACCCUGCAAGUACCACAUGAAGUGCAAAGCAUGCGCAGCAAACAAGGUGAAAAUGGCUGCGAAAGGUAAGGUGUCUAGUAGGAAAGCUACAGAACCAUACCAGGUUGUUCAUGCUGAUUUGGUUGGACCACUAGCGCCCUCUUUGGGUGGAAAUAGAUACUUCAUGGUUCUCAUUGAUGCAUUUUCUAGAUAUAUUUUUGUGUACAAUCUCAAGCAGAAAUCGGAGGCUUUUCCUAGGUUCAAGGAAUUCUGUGCUUGGUUGGAAAAUGUGCAUGGUAAGAAGAUAAAGACUCUUUUCAGUGAUCGCGGGGAAAUUCACUUCUCAGCAGUUUGAAGCUUUUCUGACUGAGAAAGGAAUUCAACACGAGUUGUCUAGUCCUCGCUCGCCAUGGCAGAAUGGACUUGCGGAACAGGCAAAUCAAACAUUGCUUCAAGGAUUAAAAACCUUGCUGCAUGAUGCCAAUCUUCCAGAGAGUUAUUGGGCCGAAUCUCUCUCGUGUUUUGUUUACAGUUACAAUCGCAGGUUAUCUUCAGCGAUUGGUUGUACCCCCUAUGAGAAGAUGUUUGGCAAGAAGCCAUACAUCAAACACAUGAAGAUUUUGGUUCUGACAUGUGGGUUCGCUCACCACAAAACUCCAAGUUAGACAAGCGUGGAUUGCAUGGUAUCUUUCUAGGUUAUCAGAAAGGGUCUUACAGAAUAAUGAUGACUGACUCUAAGACAAUUAAGCUCACGAGAAGUGUUGAGUACAAUGCAAAGUGGGGGAGAAUGUGGGAAUUUUCCAAUGUUAUCCUGAUGACGGUGAUGAGACUGAGGAUAGUCAAAGCAACCACAACAGCCCACACCCACUGAUGAAGGUUCUGAGUCUGAAUCUGAAACUGAAUCGGAUGAUUCAGAGGAUUUCGAGAGUGCGAAAGCCUCUAUGCGACCCUCUGAAAGCUCUGAUCAAGAAUUGGAGGAACCAUUGUUCACAAUAGGUCGUUUUCUCCUAAGAAGGAAGAGGAGAGUGUUGAAGACUUAAGGCUAAUUCGUAGGUCACAGAGAGCCACAAAAGGCAAACCUCCAAAGAGAUUUGCUGAUGAGUUUGCUAAGAUAGCAGUAACAGCUGUUAAAAGCUCCAAGAAGGUAUUUGAACCUUCAAGUUUCCAAGAAAUCCAGGGUUUGGAUUCGAAGGAAGCUGAGCCAUGGUUAAAUGCCAUGAAGGCUGAGCUUGAUUCCUUAGAAAGGAACAAAACAUGGGAGCUAGUUCCAGUAGUUCCAGGAAUGAAACUGCUUGGAAGCAAAUGGGUCUUCAAAGCGAAGACAGAUCAAAAUGGCAAGAUAGUCAGACACAAAGCCAGAUUGGUAGCCAGAGGUUUUGCACAGGUACCAGGUCAAGACUAUCACGAGACCUAUUCACCCACAGUGAGAUAUGAAAGCAUUAGGCUUAUGCUCAAGCUAGCUGCAGAGGAAAAUCUACACAUUAGUCACCAUGAUAUUAAUACAGCUUUUCUGUACGGAUCUCUAGAUGAAUCACUUUAUAUGCUUCCACCUGAUGGCGUACAAGUAAAACAGGGAUUUGUUUGUGCUCUGAAGAAAUCCCUUUAUGGUCUCAAACAAAGUGCACGGUGUUGGCACACAAAACUCACUGAAGUAUUGUUUUCUCUAGGUUUUCAGCAAGGAAAGCUGAUCCAUGUGUAUUUGUCAAAGAGGAGGGGCAAAAGAAACUGUACUGUUUGUUUUAUGUUGAUGAUUUAUUAUUCUUUUGGAAAGAUGUAGCAAUGUACAAUAACGCCCUAGCUCAACUGAAAAAGCACUUUGACAUGAAAGAUCUUGGUGAGGUAAACAACUACCUAUCUCUGGAAAUAGAGAGAGAUCAAGAUGGUAACAUUCUAGUACACCAGUCACGGAAAAUUGCUGAUGUGUUAAGCAAACUAAAUCUGAUGGAUGCUAACCCUGUAGACACACCGAUGACAACAGGUUAUCAGGUAGAUGACACUGAAGAAGCAUUUUCUGACACUACACUGUACAGGAGUGUGCUAGGCAAGCUAAACUUCAUUGCCAGAUGUUCAAGACCAGACAUUGCUGUUAGCUGUAAUUUGCUAAGCAGACAAGUCAACAAUCCUAGUGUCAAGCAUUGGAAAGCUCUGAAACGCAUAGCGCGGUAUUUGAAAGGCACUAUGCAUUACAGACUGAGAUUUAACAAUCAGAAGUCUGGUGGUCUUGAGAUAUUUGCAGAUGCAAGUUUUGGAAGUGACGCUACAGACAGGAAAAGUACGUCUGGAGUUUGCUAUACGUACAAUCAGAGUCUGUUUGAUUGGUCAUGCAAGAAGCAAACAACAGUUAGCUUAAGUACUUGUGAAGCCGAACUGAAUGCACUGUCUUAUUCACUUAAGGAUUGUGAAUGGUUAGUACAAUUGUGCAAAGAUAUGAAAAUUCCUGUCAAAUGUCCAAUCCAGGUUUACCAGGACAACAAAGCAUGUUUGGCUUUGCUGAAGUCUGAAGGUUGUGAGCAAAGCACAAAGCACUUGCAAUUAAAGUUGCAGCAUGCUAGGAAUGUAUUCAGAAGGACUCGUAACGGUGUCCUAUAUGCCAGGUAAUGAAAUUCCUGCUGAUGUAUUGUCCAAGAUUGUAUCAAGGGAUCAACACUGUACCUAUGUGCAGAAGUUGGGUUUGUACUGAUAUUGUGCAAACACGCUGCCCAGUGAUGUUCACAGAAAGGGGAGGAUGUUGGUUUCUGCUUUCCUUCACUGUGCAGCUCUGCUUGUCACGAGACAGGUGUUUACAUUCCACAGUCUGUACUGUUGGAGUUUCUCACGGGAAAGGGAGACUGGAUGUGACGUACACUGGUUUCCUGUUUUUCACUGUGUGAUUCUCUCCGAGCUGUUGAGGAGAGAGGAUGCAUUUUUCUGCUCCGGCAGAGGCAAGAUGUCUUUCUGUAAUAUACCAGCUUUGAACUGUAAAUAAAGCAAUAUAGAGUAUGCAGCACGUAUUCCUCAUCCUUCCGCUGGGCACCAGACUCUGCUUUAAAUCAACAGGAAUGAGGCUGGUGGAUAGCAAAUGGGUCUUUAAGGCCAAGACAGACCAGACUGGCAAGGUUGUCAGGCACAAAGCCAGAUUGAUCGCCAGAGGUUUUUCACAGGUACCAGGACAGGAUUACCAUGAGACCUACUCACCCACCUACUCACCCACCAUCAAGUAUGAGAGAAUUAGGCUAAUGCUCAAGAUUGCUGCAGAAGAGAAACUUCCCGUUUCUCAUCACGGUGUAAAUGCAGCGUUUUUGUACGGGAUUUUGGCAGAGGAGCUGUAUAUGGAUCCACCUGAUGGAGUGCAGGUACAGAAGGGAAUGGUCUGUGUUGGGUGUAGUGAAGGGUUAACCUUCUGUGUCUCGAGGCUGAGAGGAGGCGCUUACAAGGGAAGUAAGCCAGGACGUGACGAAAGCAGCUUGGAAUGCUGUGAGCUGAGUGCAAAGUGAAAGCAGUUUUGUUGCGUAGCUGCAAAGAGAGGGAGAAGAUGCAGCUUGAUUCUGAUGGCAGUUAUUGAUUGUAAAUAUGCUACUUUUGAGCAAAUAAAGGGAUAUUAGGACAGAAGAAACGUGUGGGACUUGAUUACUGCUCUUUCGACACACACCACUGCGUAAUUCUGCUAAUUGCUUUACGACCGCUACAAAGCCACCCUGCGUAAACAGAAGCUACAGAGGCUCGCAGGGGAAGCGUGGCUGGGCACCGAACAAUAAAGCAAUAAAUCUACCGAACAAAGGUUAUGGGUCAACGCGAAGCGUGUGAGAAAGGGCUUUGAAGCUUUAUUUGCUGAACGUCGGCUUGAUCGACUGCCAAGACUUCAAAGGGCAGAUCGGAGGAGGCUGACGGAGUGGGAGCUAGGAGCCACGUCGUCCGGAGUGCCCGGUUUGGCUGCUGAGUGAGUACUUUUGCAAAAGGCCAACAGAAGGGAGGCAAUGGCUCAGCCUCGUGGACAUGGCUUUGAGUUUAAACUGCCAUGUCAGAAACUGACUAGCCAAAGUUGGCUGCAGUGGAGCUUUCAAGUGGAGCUUUUGCUGGUGGGGGAUCAGCUUUGGGACGUAGUCCAGCCCCCACAGAAUGCAGCUGGGAAAGCAGAGGCUAAGAGGGCUGCAGAGCAAAGUGAAGUUGAGAAGCGUGUGCUUGCUUUUUUGGCAGAAAAUGUGGAUGCUCAGCUGGUGGCUGUUGUCCUGGGUGCAAGAAGGCCAGAGGCCGCUUGACUAGCACUCUGAGAAGCUUGUGGAGCUGGGGUGGGAAGCAAGGGCCAAGAAGUUGCUGCAUCCGAAAGGGAGAGGCAAGAUGGCGACGGCCACAUUCUUGAGAGCCGAUACACAGCUGGGAGGAGCUGGGAGCCCCCACGGGGGGGCGAAGGGACUGUUGCUGUUGCUAGCAAUGCUGCUGGUGCUUUUGCUGAGCCUGGGAGCUGUUUGGAUGCUGUAACGUGUCUGUGUGAGGAACCUGGAGAGAGGCCAAGUGUUGGGAGCCCUUUACCCAUCAGAGGGGGUGCAGGAAAACGUCCUGGAGGCCCCAUGAGCAGUGGGGGGGGCCAGUGAGCAGUGAAAGAUCAGAGACGCCUCUUUCUCCAAAAGCUGCCAAGAGUUGUUUACGUCGUGAGUCAGAGCCUGGGAAGCUGAAAAGAGCUGGAGGUUUCAAGGCCGGCUACCUGCAGCAAGUAGAGAUAAGAGCUGUGGAGUUGUGUGGGAACGCCGAGACAAGUCCAGUCUCCAUGGCAACUGAGAGAGUUGCAUCUACGGAAGCUGUGAAGGUCGUGGGCAAGUCUUCCUGCCGGGGGGAGUCUGUUGCCGUGACAACCAGAGAGGACACCUGCAGAAGCCCCAAGGAGGGGGGUAGCGAGGAGAUUGUUGCCCUGGCGACCCAGGAAUGUCAACAACAAAACUUUCUCACUGUAAUAAUCGACAGUGGUGCCUCAAACGCAUUGGUGCCAUCUCCUGGUCUUUUGAGGAAUUGCAGGACAGUAAAAACUGAGAAAUUUGUGACGAUUGCAGAUGGAAGCAGAAAAAGACUAACAGAGACAGGCUUUUUCUUCUGUCCCUUUCUUAAGCAUGAAGUCAAAGCUUAUGCAGUGCCCGGUUUAACUAACUGUUUAUUAAGUGUGCAUGAUUUACUCGUUGAUGGUUUUCAUGUCUCUUUUGCAGGUGACAAAUGUGAAUUCUCCAAGGAUGGGAAACACGUGUACACAGUGCAGUCUAAAGAUAAUUUGUUUGCUGUAAAUGUGCCUUUUUCCACAGGAGAGGAUGACACCGAAGAUGCGAAGGGCCAAUGUGUGGAUGUAGCGCCCCACCAUGGUUGUUCACAUAUUUGGCACCGACGCUUCGCCCAUUUGAAUUGGAGAUAUCUCCAGAAAGCACCAGAGCUGACGCAAGGGUGCAAAUUUAAUGUUUGUGACAAAUUUUUAGAUUGCAAUGCAUGUAAACAGGCGAAAAUUGUGACAUGCUCAUAUCCAAAGUCAGAAAGGCAGACCACACAACCCUUUGAAUUAAUUCAUGCAGAUCUGUGUGGGCCCAUGUCAGUUGAGUCACUGGGAGGAUCAAAGUAUUCUCUGCUUUUGAUUGAUGAUUUUUCGAGGUCUGCUUGGACCUUCUCUCUGAAAACGAAAGGGGAGGCGGCGAAAAUGAUCAGGGAUUGGAUCACCGCAGUUGAGGUAACUUUUUCCACCAAAGUUCGUGGUUUUCAAAGUGACAGAGGUUCUGAAUUCACUGGUUCUGCUUUACAGGAUUUCUUUAGGGAGAAGGGGAUUAGCCACCGUUUGACCGCUCCUUACUCUCCGCAACAGAAUGGGCUGGCAGAGAGAAAGAACAGGACGGUGGAGGAAGCUGUGUCUGCGAUCCUGUGGGACGCAGGGCUACCCCAGAAAUAUUGGUCUGAAGCUUGGAGAUUUGUGGUCCAUACGCAGAAUAGAGUGUACAACUCUAGUGUAGGAAACACACCGUAUUUCUUAAUGCAUGGAAAGAAGCCUAAGGUACACUACCUUCGUGUGUUUGGUUGUGAGGCUUGGGUGCUUAUUCCAAAGGCUCUAUGCAAGAAAGGUGAGUCGAGAUCUAAAAGAAUGAUCUUUGUAGGGUAUGAGCCUGGCUCAAAGGCCUGGCGGUUUGCGUACCCAAGUGGAAACCAGUCUAGGUUGGUUAUCAGCAAUAGCGCUGAAUUCUGUGAGCAAGCCAGUUGGAAACUUCUGCACGCUAAUCCAGACGUAAUUCCACGGCAGUUCUAUAACUCAGAUGUUGAGGAGGAAGAGGAACUUGUUGCUGGGGACCACAGUCCAGAGCAACAGGAUCCACCACAGGGACAGAGUUCAAGGCAGGGACAGCUCAGGAUCCCUCAGAGGGGGGAACCUAGAACACCUCCUCAGGCAAGUGUCAUGUUUGAGCCAAAGAGUGAGCCUUCUUCACCUGCUGGACCAGCUGUAAGGCCCAAGAGGCGCAGCAGGUCAGAAGGGGAAGACACUGAAGUUGAGGAUGAUUUAGCUGGACCCAGUGAAGCAGCAGGGUCACCAGGAUUCACACUGAGGAGAUCAGCGAGGACAAGGAGGCCUCCUGAUCGGUACGGCGCUUCAGGCGUCUGGGUAGGUUCUGCAAGAUGUGAACCUGAAUCCUUCGAGGAUAUUCAGAGUUUACCUGAGGAAGAAGCAGGCAAGUGGCACAGGGCAAUGGACAAAGAGAUGAAGUCCAUGAAAGAUCUAGGUGUGUUCUCACUCACAGAGUUGCCACCGGGCAAGCAGGCUGUGAGUUGCAGGUGGGUUUACCGCUUGAAACCCACUAACACUGGAGAGCCACAAUAUAAAGCCAGGUUAGUUGCUCGAGGAUUUACUCAGAGGAAGGGAAUACACUUCACGGAGAUGUAUUCGCCAACGUCACGAGCGGAGACUCUGAGAACGCUUUUAGCUUGUGCAGCACAGAGAGGCUGGAAAGUAAACCACUUUGAUGUGGAUGUUGCCUACCUUAACUCAGAUCUCCAGGAGGAGCUGUACAUGAUUCCUCCUCCGGGGUUUGAGAACUUAAGGCAGGAUGUUGUGUGGAGACUGCACAAAUCCAUCUAUGGAUUACGUCAAUCUGCUAGAAACUGGAACAUGUGCCUGAAUGAAGCCUUAAAAGAGCUAGGUUUCAGGAGAAGUGUUGCUGAUAGUUGCUUUUAUUUGAGAGGAUCAGGAACAACACAAGAGUAUUUGCAGAUUUGGGUUGAUGACUUGUUAUUCUUCUCAGAAACAGAUGAACAGGCGGAGAAGUUUGCCAAAGAGCUAGGUAAACGAUUCAAGCUUAAACAGCUUGGUGCUGUCAAAACCUAUCUAGGUAUCAGUGUUGAGCGUGCACAGGAUGGAAGCUUCUUGCUCAGCCAGAGAGGUAAAAUUGAGCAAUUGCUUCAGAAAAUGAGGAUGAGUGAUUGUGCAGGAGUGAGAAGUCCUAUGGAGACUAGUUUUGUGAAGGACAGCCAGCAAGUAGAACGCACUGCGUUUGAAAAUACUGAAGUGUUUCAGUCAGCCCUAGGGAGUUUGUUGUACUUGUCCCAGUGGAGCAGACCUGAUAUAGCGUUUGCUGUCAAUCUGCUCAGCAGGGAAGCUUCAAACCCUAGUGUGCAAGCCUGGAAUGGCAUCAAGAGAGUUCUGAGGUAUUUGCAGGAGACCAAAGACUUUUGUCUUAGGUUGCCAGCACAAGGAGAAGUCUAACUGACUUGUUUUGUGGACUCAGAUUGGGCUAAUCUUGAGGAUCGCAAGUCUGUGUCUAGCCUAGUGGUGAAGUUUGGGAACUCAGUAGUUGGAUGGAGGUCCAAGAAGCAAAGUCUUAUAGCGCUCUCAUCCACUGAGGCUGAGUUUAGUGCUCUUUCAGAGGUGUGCAGAGAAGUAGAGUUCUAUGCUUGCUUGGUGCAGGAACUCUGCGAAGUGGAUUGUCUGCCGAUACGUGUUUUCGAGGACAAUUAACCAUGCCUGCGUAUGGCAGAGUCAGGUCAGUUCAAGGCCACAACUAAACACCUAGACAUUUGCUUUCGGAAUGUGUGCCAGAGUGUUCAGGAGGGAUUAGUUGCGCUGAAGUAUUGUCCCUCUGCCAAGAACCUAGCUGAUGGGUUCACGAAGCCACUCACCUUCCAAAGACAUGGGGAGUUUUGCGAAGGUCUGGGUUUGGGACGACCAAGGGUCGAUUCUCCCCUCAGGCGCGAGACAAGAGGGGGUGUUGGGUGUAGUGAAGGGUUAACCUUCUGUGUCUCGAGGCUGAGAGGAGGCGCUUACAAGGGAAGUAAGCCAGGACGUGACGAAAGCAGCUUGGAAUGCUGUGAGCUGAGUGCAAAGUGAAAGCAGUUUUGUUGUGUAGCUGCAAAGAGAGGGAGAAGAUGCAGCUUGAUUCUGAUGGCAGUUAUUGAUUGUAAAUAUGCUACUUUUGAGCAAAUAAAGGGAUAUUAGGGCAGAAGAAACGUGUGGGACUUGAUUACUGCUCUUUCGACACACACCGCUGCGUAAUUCUGCUAAUUGCAUUACGACCGCUAUAAAGCCACCCUGCGUAAACAGAAGCUACAGAGGCUCGCAGGGGAAGCGUAGCUGGGUGCCUAACAAUAAAGCAAUAAAUCUACGGAACAGUCUGUAAGCUACAGAAGUCUCUAUAUGGUCUCAAGCAGAGUGCCAGGUUUUGGAACACAAAACUCACUGAGGCAUUGCUUUCUCUAGGUUUUCACCAAGGUAAAGCUGAUCCAUGUGUGUUUGUCAAGGAGGAGGGGCAAAACAAACUGUAUUGUUUAUGCUUUGUAGAUGACAUGCUUCUUUUCUAGAACAAUCAGGCUUUGUGCCAAAGCACCCUAGCUCAGCUGAAGGAGCACUUUGACAUGAAGGAUCUUGGUGAGGUAUCCAACUAUCUUUCUCUGCAUGUGGAGAAGGACCAGGCAGGUAAUUUUCUGGUACACCAAACACAGAAGAUUGCUGAUGUAUUAACCAGGCUGAAUUUGGUUGAUGCAAACCCAGCAGACAUGCCGAUGGUGACAGGUUACCAGGUAGAUGGUACUGCUGAAGCAUUUUCUGACACCACACUGUACAGAUGCAUUCUAGGCGAACUGAAUUUCAUUGCUAGAUGUUCAAGACCUGACUGUUGGUUUCUGCUUUCCUUCACUGUGCAGCUCUGCUUGUCACGAGACAGGUGUUUACAUUCCACAGUCUGUACUGUUGGAGUUUCUCACGGGAAAGGGAGACUGGAUGUGACGUACACUGGUUUCCUGUUUUUCACUGUGUGAUUCUCUCCGAGCUGUCGAGGAGAGAGGAUGCAUUUUCUGCUCCGGCAGAGGCAAGAUGUCUUUCUGUAAUAUACCAGCUUUGAACUGUAAAUAAAGCAAUAUAGAGUAUGCAGCACGUAUUCCUCAUCCUUCCGCUGGGCACCAGACUCUGCUUUAAAUCAACACGUGGUUAUGGGCUCCAGAAGUCGAGAUCGGAGUACCGGCAAAGGAUCGGAAUGCAGAGGAACAGAUCGGAACGGAAUCUGCUCUGCGCGUAGAGGUGAUUGAUGAGGUAUGUGCUACUGCUCCGGGCAGCCUGCCAGCUUCAAGUUAAUGGCUUUAUGGCUGGACUUUGAACUUUUAAAGCCGGUUUUGCCGGGAAUAGGCAAAAGGCUCCCAGGCACAAGUCACUAUGCUGGGGAAAUCAAAAGUAACUUUUAAGUGCGCUUUGUAAUAAGGCAGCUGCAGCGGUGACGCAGCAAGAUUUAAAGCAGCAUAUGACGCUGAAGGCUAAUGCCAGAGUCAUGAUGGCCCUUCAGGAUGCUUGUGGGAUUCCUAAGCUCAACAAGAAAAAUUACAGCGACUGGGUUCAGUAUGCAGAGGCAAUUCUGCGGAAAGAGGGUUUGUUUGAGGUGAUUACAGGAACCCCCAGUUCCAGUUACAGAUGCAUGGGAAGCUAAGGAUUCCAAAGCAAGGGAACUCUUACAUUGAUAGUAUCCCCAGAAGAGCUCUGUCUAUUGCGUGAUAAGACCUCAGCCAGAGAAAUUUGGGACGCUUUGAGAGAGGCUCACUUAAGGACAGAAGCUGGAUCCACUAUGUUUUACUUUAACAAGCUGCAUAAUAUGGCUCUUGCUGAAGGUGGAGAUGUGCGUUUACAUCUGAUGGAGAUGCAAAAUCUGAGACAUGAGCUGCAACAGAGAGGACUCAACUUUCCAGAGGCUGUGUAUUCUUUCAUGAUACUACAAUCUUUGGGUUCAGGUUGGGAGUCUGUUGCAACCCAGAUUGCUGUGCAACCAACUGCUCAGCUGACAGUGGACUUUGUUACUGCCGUGAUUUUAAAUGAAGCAGAUCGCCGGGGUGCUAGCUGCAUGGGCAAGGGAGUCUUCACAGACGUCAUCCCAUAGUGCAGUGGAACCACCAGAUGGCGCCAAAGCUUUGAAGGCAGUGAAAUGCUACUCGUGUGGACGUCUAGGCCAUAUGAAGAGGGAAUGCAGACAUCCCAGGGCCAAGACAGAGCAGCGCAGCGAAAGCUCAUCGCGCGGAAAAGGCCGAGGCAAAGGCAAAGGUCCGGUGUCUAGGACAACGCAGCACAAGGCUAUGGUUUCACGCUUCACUCCAAAGGUUGCAGAGGUCCAGAAGACGUCUAGAUCUUUCUUCGUUGUUGAUUCAGCGGCCACCCACCACAUGUGCAACGAUAAGAAACUGUUUGUGUCUUUUACACCGCAGGAAGGUGCGAUUCACCAGGCGGAUGACCACACUAUUCCCAGUAAAGGCUACGGAACUGUUGUUCUUCACAGUUUGGACUUAUCGAUACAGAAUGUGCUUUACGUGCCAGACGCCAAACAUAAUCUGCUCAGCGUUGGACAGCUGAAUGAGCGGAACAUUGAUGUUUCCUUCAAGAACAAGAAGUGCAUCAUCACAAAGAAAAAUGAUUAUGUAUUGCAUGCAGAAUAUGUUGAUCAUUUGUUUGUUUUGUAUUAUGAUGAUGUGGUGCAGGAUGACACUUGUUGCAUUGCAGGUUCUAACAAAAGUUUGCAUGCAGAAUGUAUUCACGAUUUUCAUAGAAAAUUUGGUCAUUUGCAUUUUGAGGCAGUAUCUAAAAUGCCUGCCUUGGUUGAAGGUAUGACUAUUAAACCCUGCAGGUACCACAUGAAGUGCAAAGCAUGCGCAGCAAACAAAGUGAAAAUGGCUGCGAAAGGUAAGGUGUCUAGUAGGAAAGCUACAGAACCAUACCAGGUUGUUCAUGCUGAUUUGGUUGGACCACUAGCGCCCUCUUUGGGUGGAAAUAGAUACUUCAUGGUUCUCAUUGAUGCAUUUUCUAGAUAUAUUUUUGUGUACAAUCUCAAGCAGAAAUCGGAGGCUUUUCCUAGGUUCAAGGAAUUCUGUGCUUGGUUGGAAAAUGUGCAUGGUAAGAAGAUAAAGACUCUUUUCAGUGAUCGCGGGGAAUUCACUUCUCAGCAGUUUGAAGCUUUUCUGACUGAGAAAGGAAUUCAACACGAUUUGUCUAGUCCUCGCUCGCCAUGGCAGAAUGGACUUGCGGAGCAGGCAAAUCAAACAUUGCUUCAAGGAUUAAAAACCUUGCUGCAUGAUGCCAAUCUUCCAGAGAGUUAUUGGGCCGAAUCUCUCUCGUGUUUUGUUUACAGUUACAAUCGCAGGUUAUCUUCAGCGAUUGGUUGUACCCCCUAUGAGAAGAUGUUUGGCAAGAAGCCAUACAUCAAACACAUGAAGAUUUUUGGUUCUGACAUGUGGGUUCGCUCACCACAAAACUCCAAGUUAGACAAGCGUGGAUUGCAUGGUAUCUUUCUAGGUUAUCAGAAAGGGUCUUACAGAAUAAUGAUGACUGACUCUAAGACAAUUAAGCUCACGAGAAGUGUUGAGUACAAUGCAAAGUGGGGGAGAAUGUGGGAAUUUUCCAAUGUUAUCCUGAUGACG